rnacentral:rRNA from 1 species
UACGUAGGGUGCAAGCGUUGUCCGGAAUUAUUGGGCGUAAAGAGCUCGUAGGCGGUCUGUCGCGUCUGCUGUGAAAACUCAGGGCUUAACCCUGAGCUUGCAGUGGGUACGGGCAGACUAGAGUGCGGUAGGGGAGACUGGAAUUCCUGGUGUAGCGGUGAAAUGCGCAGAUAUCAGGAGGAAUACCGGUGGCGAAGGCGGCAUCCUGGACCGACAUUGGACGCUGAGGAGCGAAAGCUAGGGGAGCAAACGGG